GUUCUGAAGGAGUGGUGGGGCAGGUUCUGAAGGAGUGGUUGGGCAGGUUCUGAAGGAGUGGUUGGGCAGGUUCUGAAGGAGUGGUUGGGCAGGUUCUAAAGGAGUGGUUGGGCAUGUUCUAAAGGAGUGGUUGGGCAGGUUCUAAAGGAGUGGUUGGGCAGGUUCUAAAGGAGUGGUUGGGCAGGUUCUAAAGGAGUAGUUGGGCAGGUUCUAAAGGAGUGGUUGGGCAGGUUCUGAAGGAGUGGUGGGGCAGGUUCUGAAGGAGUGGUUGGGCAGGUUCUGAAGGAGUGGUUGGGCAGGUUCUAAAGGAGUGGUUGGGCAUGUUCUAAAGGAGUGGUUGGGCAGGUUCUAAAGGAGUAGUUGGGCAGGUUCUAAAGGAGUGGUUGGGCAGGUUCUAAAGGAGUAGUUGGGCAGGUUCUAAAGGAGUGGUUGGGCAGGUUCUGAAGGAGUGGUGGGGCAGGUUCUGAAGGAGUGGUUGGGCAGGUUCUGAAGGAGUGGUUGGGCAGGUUCUGAAGGAGUGGUUGGGCAGGUUCUGAAGGAAUGGUUGGGCAGGUUCUGAAGGAGUGGUUGGGCAGGAUCUAAAGGAGUGGUUAGGCAGGUUCUAAAGGAGUGGUUGGGCAGGUUCUAAAGGAGUGGUUGGGCAGGUUCUGAAGGAGUGGUUGGGCAGGUUCUAAACGAGUGGUUGGGCAGGAUCUAAAGGAGUGGUUAGGCAGGUUCUAAAGGAGUGGUUGGGCAGGUUCUAAAGGAGUGGUUGGGCAGGUUCUGAAGGAGUGGUUGGGCAGGUUCUAAACGAGUGGUUGGGCAGGUUCUGAAGGAGUAGUUGGUGGCUCUAUCCACGUUGCACUUAAUUCCUUGGUCUCUCUUGGGUAUGUUCAGAGCUCCUGCAGAGGGUGAGUGUGUUUUCGGCUGCAACACAACCUAGGGAACCAUACUUUUUGCAGUCUUUGGGCUGGUUUGCAUUGAAGAUAUGGCCCCUACAAUGUCCUAAUUGGAUAAUUGAUGGCAUGUGCUGCAAUCUUCCGAAGUCUUUUCAUGUGACUGAAGAGGCUUCUUCUCUCAAAGCUUAGACCUUGGAACUGAGAUACUCCUAUUGGUUCCCAGAGCAAUGUUCUGGGUGUACUGCCAAUUGGUCUGAGGAGGUCGUCACAGUCACCUGCAUGAACCAAGAUGGAGUGAGAGGAGAUGCU
ensembl:lncRNA